UGGCAAAUGCACCGGGGCUUGCCUGGGAUAAACAUUAUGUUAGUGUUGUUAAUUGACGACCACUUGGUAAGUAUCUUCCAUUCUGGUGCUGGCUUGAUGCAUCCACAAGAUUAAUCCUCCAAUACCAUCUCAUGGUUCGCUCUGAUCCAUGUCCUUCAGCUCGCAUAAUCAUCUAGCGUACCUAUUGGAAAUGCAUAAUGCAUAUGAGCAUGGACAUGAAUAGCAUGAGAUAGAUGUUCUAUACUAAAGAGGGUAAACACUUAAAAGAAGUCAUCAUAACUCCUAUGAGCGCACUAGAUGUGAAGAUAUUACUAUGUACCACAAGCACAUCUUUUACACAUAAAUAGGCCUAACGCAAGUAUCAGGCACUCAUACACGCUUAUAAACACAAGACAAUCCAAUCAACUCAAUAAUACUAGAUAUAAAUGUCUACUAACCUUUUUCGCAUUAUUGAUUCACCAUACUCACACAAAACCUAAAUAGUCACUAAUUCAAAUUUACUCACCAAAGUAUUUACUUCAUUCCCAAUUACUAAAGUCUAAAUCAAACAGUAAGAAGGAAAUGAAUUAAUCAAGUAUAACCAGGCAUUUCGAUAAACACUUCAUAUGCAACAAGUUGGUAUCAAUCAAGGACCAAGGAUUAACUAAUCCUCCCUAGGCAAACAAAAAUGACACCAAGAAAUCAGUUUAACACAUGCAGAUUUUCUAGACAGCAGCACAGCAGUUAACUGUUUUAUUCAUAACUCACAAAAUAUGCAUCCAAAAAUAGUAAACUAGGACUUUCUGGAAAGCUUAGAAAGUCCUCCACGAUUUUGGUAUUAUCAUCACAGUGAGAUUCAACAUAUAGAAAUGUCAAACAGUACUAAACGCAAUUUCUGUCCAGAUUUGGACAGAAUUCGGCCACUCACUUUAAAAUUCCGUAACUGGAGUUUCAGCCAUCCAAAUCAGGUGAUCCUAGACUUUUUAGAAAGUUAAUAUAAUUGUCUACAAUUCAUUUAUAAUCAUCUCAAGGUGAUUCAAUGUGUAUCAAAGUCAGUUAAUUCAAACACACAUUGUUGUCCAGAUUUUUAACAGAUUCAAACAUUACAUUUCAAACAGCCAUAACUUGAUUUCUAGACCACCAAAAGGGGUGAUCCAAGACUUUUUGGAAAGCCUAUAAAACGUACUAUAACUUCUUUAUAAUUACUAAGAGCUGAUUCUCAGUUUUACUUAAUCAAACAAUCCAAUUUUCGAAACCUGUACAGAAUUUGGACAGAUUCUGAAACUGGACUUGGAAAAAUCACAACUCCUAAACUGCUAGUCCUAUGGUCAUGAAAUUUUAGCACAAGCAAGAUAAAGGAGUUAUCUAUAACUUUUCUAUAUAACAUUUUCACAGAAAAGAUGAUUUACUUUGCUAAACUAGCUUUAUAAUUAAAAUCGUACCUACAGCCCUAAACAGCAGGAAUUCUAGUUUAGUUCCUAUUUAAGUUAACCACACCUUACCAACUCUUUUAUCAAAGCAUCCAUUGCCUAAUUUGCAUCAUAAACCAAUCUUUAGAUCAAACAAUACUUUGGCUUCAUAAUACUAAUGCACCUAUUUCAUAACAUGAAACUAUACAAUACACCAUAUGCACAUGAUUCAUCCAUUGCACUAUUAAGAAUCCACCACAACCUUGCAUAUAUUUCUACCAUGACAUAUUGCAUAAUUUGCAUUUAAGAACUAAACUGUAACGCAUGACUCGACUACUUCAAAAUCCUGAAUCCAUUCAUUUCAUAUAAUUUGCAAUUCAAACUUAAAGUCAUAUCGCAACGAAGAACCGCUUUCAUGACACUAUGCACAUUUCAUUUAGCACAAAUAUCGACUCCCUACAAAUCAACCAUUUAUUCGAUUAACGGAAACAACGGGUCGACUUACCACGACUAAACUCAAAGCGGCGUCCACAAACACGGCGAUGGCUUUGGGUUCAGUCUUUCUAUCAGACACCUGUCAAGCCCCACCCGGAUCUCGCUUGCUUUCACCCAACAUCCGGGAUUCGCUCCACACAACCACACAUAAAUAUACACAUGAUUAAUUUCUUAUAAGCGACGCCGAGAAACAAAACACCCAAGUAAGAACAUAACCUCAUGGUCGUGCAAAAACUUGCGGUGUCACGGAUGAAGAACGAGGAUGAACUCUGGUCAAUCCUCCCGUCGAACACAUGGCGUGCGUCGUGGACAUUGGACUGCUCCGGCGUGCUGCUGCUCGCAUAGAGACAAGGAGGGAUGCUGCUGGGGAAGAAAUAGAAGCAGUGAAGGCGAAGUCGCCAUGGGGAGAGGAGUAGAGACGACAGCCUUCGGAGUUCGGACAUGGGGCGAGCUUGGCAUGGGAUCUGCCACCAUGGGGAAGAGACCUGGGCGCCCAUGGAGAGGAGCGUGACUAGCAAAGAACCAAGAGGGAGAGGGCUAGGGCAAACUCGACUGGGACACCAUGGGAGGAACAGGAGCAGGGAGUACGGGCGACCGGUGCCUAGAGGUUGAGGACCGACGCCAUGGGAAACUGGAGCACGCCACAAACAGAGAGGGGCUAGGCGAGCUGGGACUGGACGCCAUGGCUGCUUGCCGCUGCUGGCAUGGGGAGAAACCAGGGAGCAGAGAGGGGCAGCCAUGAGGGGGCUGGGAACCUGGCUCGGGGCUUUGACGCCAUGGGAGGGGUAGGGAGAGGAGUGCCCAAGUGGUGGCUGCCGCAGGGAUGAACGCCAGGGAAGAGGAUGGCGUGAGGGAGUUCGGUUGGAGCUUGAGGAAGAGAUGAGGAUGAAGGAGAAAUGACGUGUGUAGCUUCUAGGAAAUAAUGGGCAGCGUGGAUAAGAAGGAGAGGAGCUUGAGCGGUGGAGAAGAUAAGAGAAAAAUUCAGAUUUUUUCCUUCUCCAAUCUUUAACCAAAAGAAUACCCAAAUAAGUGAAAAAAUCUGGGAUUUGAAUCCGGGCGAGAUGCAAACAGACCCAUCAAAACAAUAUAAAUUUUAAUAUUUUUGGACUACGCUAACACUGUUAGGUAUUUUCGGGAUCAGGCAAAUUUUCACAGUUGUAGACAGUGGAACAGAUUAAUUACGAGUACUCAUUUCGGUUCUAGUUAUCUCGGUCCGAUUUAAUUUUUGCAGCACUUCUAUCGUGAAGUUCUAGUAAUAUUUACUUGGGCAAAAAUACAAGAGUGGAUCGGGAUUCCAAAUUCAUGUUCUCUUAAUCCAUAAAUUCUAAACAAACACCAGGCUCGACAUUUCGCGAAAUAAAUACGCGAGAUCGAUCCGGCAUCGAAAUUGUGAUCCCUUCGGAAGCGAAGUCACACAUCGUUCACGUGGGCGAGAGGCUGUGCGCUGUCUAGACACCGCUUAACACCAGCCACGCGCCACGAUGCCAGGCCACAGAGAGACACGGGCAACAUAAGCGUGAAAGGAUUUCAAAUGAAGUUUAAGAAACCAGAUCCGAUUUCCAGAAUUAAAGUUUGGGCAAGACGUUGAUGGCUUAACCCAAACGAUACUGGAGUCGAUGUUCCGAAAUUACUAAAGUCUGAAUUUUGCAAAAUAAAUUAGGACAAUUUAGACAGAUGGAGACAGACACGAUAUCAAAAUCGUGAUAGACGAGGAUGAUUAAAAUUUAGUGACCUUUACAUUCACAGCUAUCACGUGUUAACGUCCGCACUCGUGGUCGAGUAGAUGAUAAACACCUGGGGUGUUACAACCUUCCCCCUUAAAAGAAUCUCGUCCCGAGAUUCAGAACGAAAGACUUCUAAGAGUAGAGAGGCAUAUAACCCUGUCCAUAAUAGUGACAGCAUAAGCUAAUUCCAAGCAAAGACGAGCAUCUCAAAAUGUUGCUUCUCUAGUGGGUAUAGCACAUACCAUUUUAGUUCAACUAGAGACGUCAAUAAACAAGCUAUAACUGACAAAAGAACACAUAAGGUUCCAUGUGUGCAGUUUACUUUUUCUGAUGACACGGUACUAUCUGAGUCUAUUGAAAACGGUGGACAAAUGGAUAGCAAUUCCUAGCACAUGAGACGAGUGUGGAUGUCAAACAACAUCACAAUUAACUCGUGGUUAGCCAGGGAAUCCAAGUCCAAGAAAAAUGAUAGAGAUUCAAGGAAUGUAGGGAUCUGUAGAUGUUGACCUUGUGUCCAAUCCAUUUUAUCAAGCACUAAGCAUGGCUCGGCUUGAUCACACAUGUUAGAAAAUCACAUGUGAGGCGAUUGAGACACAACUAGAACUGUGGUCGGGCUAUUACCAGUUAGCUGAGGAUGGCAAAAUACCUCGGACAACAAUGUCGAGUUAAGAUGCAUAUGCUCAUAAUCUAAUCCAAUAUGGCCCAAGACCUGCGCAUAUGUUCAUAACCUUCACUUGGUCUUCAUAAAGGUUUCUUCAGGAUAGGCUGAACUAAAGUGAGUUUAGACAACUCGAUAAAACGAUCUCUAAACUCAACCUUUGUUCAUUGGGCAGUUACAAGUUAGUAAAACCAACUUGUUGAACUACUUUUGACAUUGAGCAAGUCCUCUUAUUACCCGUCGGCAAACCAGAGGUUGGGAGUUUACAUUUACGAGUACGAGGGCAUGCAUUUGGAUAAGGAUUCAGUUGAUCAGAUUAUUUAUUCAUCUCCUCCACACGAGACAAAAUAACAUGUGUAUUAGAUGUAUGAAUCCAAUAAGGAGGCGAAUGAACAAACUCCUGCAUUUAGCAGCAAGGGAAGUCAAUCUCCAUUUUGAGAACUAAUCAGUUGUCACCCAACACUAAAAAGCUUCAAGGCUUCACCUUUGUAGAAAGGGUAGCGGAGGGAAGCUGUAUAUGGGUAGUCACCACCAAAAUCAAGAAAAAUGAGACUACACCGAUAAGAAUGGUUACAGGUAGAAAGCCAAAUAGGUCCUGGCCCGAUGAAAGGAACACGAGAUUGCCAAAACCUAAAAUGGUUGAUGAGGGAGUACGAUGGAAGACUAUUAUUUCAGCCCCAAGCAUAUUUCUAUGCCCAUCGCAGAAAUUUCAAGGUCAAGGAUGAGCAUCUAAUUAGAUACAGAGAGGUAAUGAUCAUAAAAUUAAACUGAUAAGUCUUCGAGAGAUAUGAGGAAACCAAAGGCAUUGAACUCAAGGAAAUGAUCGGACAUGUCUUUCCUGGGUUAGGUUGAUAAAAUAACGACAUGGUCCCCAAGAAGAUACAGAGUGGAAUAGAAACAUCAGCUUGCACCAAGCGAGUAAAGGCAUGAUUUUGGAUGAAAAAAAUGACUACAAAAGAGUCACGUUUUAAACAACGAGAACACGUACUCGAGAUCCUUGUUUUAAGCUCAGGUGCAUUUAUUUUCUACGAUAAGAUUACCUAAACACCAAUUUAGAUAAACUUGGUCCUAAAGUAACGAUGGAAAUUUAAACUCGUCCACUUUUGGAAACUGGGGAAAAACUUUGGGAAAUUAACAUCGAUUUGGGUCAUGGCUCCUAGAUGAGGACAUGGCCAAAUUUUAGGUUUAUGCAAACAAGUCACCAAUAUUCUAUCGGCACACAGGCACAAAAAUAAACAUAAGUUGCACUAUCAGUCAAACUAAGAAGAACCACAGACCACAUAAACACAUGUCUAAAGGACACAUCAAACAAAGCUAGAAAUUGCUUAUAGAACAGUAAUACUUCAUACAGUUUCCAAUUAUUUAUUAUCGGGAUAAAGAUGAGAAAAGCAUGUUCGUUCACAAUCACCUAUUAUUAGAAUAAAGGUGAGGAAAGUAUUUCUGUGCGCAAACAACAAACACAAUGCAACAAUCGGGAUGCAUGCUCGUCCUAUUCGUCCUCACGAAUUUCGCCAACAUAAUAUGGCAAUAGCGUUCUAUAUCGGUGGCAUACUUACGACUCUCACGGUAUUUUGCUAGUCGUCAGCUAAACAUACGAGUUCGAAGUUAGUGUACCUGCAGAAAAUUUCAUCACAGCCCAUUUCCUAAUGAUGCAAUUCACACAUGACAGUUUAUCAUAGUUUAUACUCCAUAUAUUUCUAUAUGGAGGCCAGCUCCUCAUUAAGCGCCGAGCCACGCAUAGGCGCCGCUGCCACACUUUAACCAUAGGGCAGCUCAUUAUGGUAACUCACCUUCUUACCUGAGCGUAGGUGCGUCGUUGCAAAUACAUUACACUUCUCAGUAUUCCCAUGUCUGUAUACCCAUACACAUCCAUGGGGUACUGAAUCCCGAAAAAGUAAUUACUCCACAUCGCAGCCUUCAUAUAUACAUAUGUGUAACAUGUAUAUAAUCAAGCGCCACAAUUAAGCACUCCCCUAGACCGACGUUUGUCCGGUCACGCUCUCACAUCUCACCUUACCUGAGCGUCGAUCCAUUCAAGACUGAAUGGCCUCAAAAACAACAUUACACAUGUAUGCAUCACCCUUCCCAGGUUGUGGGUUAGUAUUCUGAACUAAGCCACCUAGUAGUCCUUAACUUAGGGCUUAUAGAGGAUGUCGCUAGCAUUAUAGUUUUUCAAAUAUGUUUUUCAAAACCAAACAAUGUGUUUAGUUGAAAAUAGAUUUUCCAAAACCAAAAUUUUGUUUUGAAAAUACGUAUGUGACCGUAUCAUACUUAAUCAAGCUCCGAUACCAGCUGUCGCAGAACCUCCCAAGUUAUCGGGCCCACAUGCACCUGUCCUUGUCUCAACGACCUCAGACGGCUAUGCAUGUGCACCAAACAACUUAACAGGAUCUGUCCGAGUGCCCCGAGGACCCCGGAUAAACGACUUACCGCCAAGAUCGCAGGAUUAAGUAAACACAACUCACAUACAAACACUUGCAGCGGAAAUAAAUUCUUUAUUACAAAAUGAUUACAUGUUACAAUAAUUUUACAUUAUACAAUUAUCGGAGUGAUUACAAGAGAAAAUGAUUCAAAAGAAUUACAAAUUUGAAAUGUUAUAAAAUAUUUGUAAAUUUGAAGAUACAUGCUAGCUUAAGUGACAAUCCUCAAUACUUAUAUAAGAAGGCCGAGCCCACCGGCACUUAGCACCAUCCACAACAGAACAAAAUUACAACCUGAAAAACAACAGGGAAUAAAACCCUGAGUACGCAAUUACUCAGCAAGACUUACCCGACUAAAGAAAAGACUCUCAAGGGUAUGCAGGUUUAUUGGGAAUCAAGGUAAAGCUUAUCAAAUUUCAAAGACUCAUUUUGCAGAAAAGCUUACUAGUAGUGGAUCCUUAUGCCAAACUUUUACUUCACAGAUUAAGUACUUUUCCUGAAUCUAGAUUUGCCUAAUCUAGAGCAUUCACUUGUCCUACACUAGCUUCGUUUUAGCAGCUUUAGUUUCACUUGUUAUCUACGAUGCAGGGCAGUGAUCCAGUCUUCAUAUCCGAGAAGUAACGGCGAUCCGAAUCGAUUAAUACUCAGCUGAGGAUCUCCAACCACACGACAUAUGUAGCACUUAACCCUUGCAUAUGUCAACUCGCCCACGGUUUUCUCAAGACCAGAACGGGUUCACGCGACCCGAGAGCACAACACUCCACCGUCCAGCCGUUGGCCUGGUUGGUACACGUUACUCUCGCCAUGGUGCCCGCCAUGUUUCCGAGAGUACAGCACCCCACCUUCCAGUCUCUUGCCACGGAGGGUACAAGCUACUCUCGCCAUCUCUCCACUCCCAGUGCGUGCGAGCUGUUCUGGUAUUGGUCCGACCGAGGCUAAGCUUACCCAUGACAAGGCAUGUGGCCAAUUAAAGGGUCCUAGAUCAGCAAGCCUACUUUCGGUACGGUCCUUAAUCGACACAGACGGGCGACCUUUCCUGCUCAACGUCUGGUCUCAUCUUAUUAUUUAACACCCAAAUCAUGUACCUGACAGAGGUACCAUACUUGAAUGAUGAAUUCAUCACUGCAGAUGAUGCGCUCACCAUUACAAGUCUCUUUUCAUAAAACAAACCCAUAACCAGUGUCACACAUCAUUCUUUUAAAAAGAAACAAGUUUUAAUUCUCUAGGCAGGGCUAAGCCUCAUUAGUUCUUUUUGUAAAACAGGUAUCAAGGAGGAUAAUCAAAUUCCAAGGAAUGGUAAUGCAUCAAUUGUUUAUUCACACAACUCCUAUCACCUAAUGCAGCAGGUAAGUGAUAAAAGUUUUUUAAAUAGAAGGAGGUGGCAAAUGCACCGGGGCUUGCCUGGGAUAAACACUAUGUUAGUGUUGUUAAUUGACGACCACUUGGUAAGUAUCUUCCAUUCUGGUGCUGGCUUGAUGCAUCAACAAGAUUAAUCCUCCAAUACCAUCUCAUGGUUCGCUCUGAUCCAUGUCCUUCAGCUCGCAUAAUCAUCUAGCGUACCUAUUGGAAAUGCAUAAUGCAUAUGAGCAUGGACAUGAAUAGCAUGAGAUAGAUGUUCUAUACUAAAGAGGGUAAACACUUAAAAGAAGUCAUCAUAACUCCUAUGAGCGCACUAGAUGUGAAGAUAUUACUAUGUACCACAAGCACAUCUUUUACACUUAAAUAGGCCUAACGCAAGUAUCAGGCACUCAUACACGCUUAUAAACACAAGACAAUCGAAUCAACUCAAUAAUACUAGAUAUAAAUGUCUACUAACCUUUUUCGCAUUAUUGAUUCACCAUACUCACACAAAACCUAAAUAGUCACUAAUUCAAAUUUACUCACCAAAGUAUUUACUUCAUUCCCAAUUACUAAAGUCUAAAUCAAACAGUAAGAAGGAAAUGAAUUAAUCAAGUAUAACCAGACAUUUCGAUAAACACUUCAUAUGCAACAAGUUGGUAUCAAUCAAGGACCAAGGAUUAACUAAUCCUUCCUAGGCAAACAAAAAUGACACCAAGAAAUCAGUUUAACACAUGCAGAUUUUCUAGACAGCAGCACAGCAGUUAACUGUUUUAUUCAUAACUCACAAAAUAUGCAUCCAAAAAUAGUAAACUAGGACUUUCUGGAAAGCUUAGAAAGUCCUCCACGAUUUUGGUAUUAUCAUCA
rnacentral:lncRNA from 1 species